GGAGAGAUGGUAGAGUGGUCGAUUACAACGGUCUUGAAAACCGUCGUACCGAGAGGUACCGGGGGUUCGAAUCCCUCUCUCUCCGC
rnacentral:tRNA from 4 species